GGGCCCGUAGCUCAGCAAGGUAGAGCACCGGGCUUUUAACCCGGUGGUCCCGGGUUCAAUUCCCGGCGGGCCCG
rnacentral:tRNA from 1 species